AUUGAACGCUGGCGGCAGGCCUAACACAUGCAAGUCGAGCGGAUGAAGGGAGCUUGCUCCUGGAUUCAGCGGCGGACGGGUGAGUAAUGCCUAGGAAUCUGCCUGGUAGUGGGGGAUAACGUCCGGAAACGGGCGCUAAUACCGCAUACGUCCUGAGGGAGAAAGUGGGGGAUCUUCGGACCUCACGCUAUCAGAUGAGCCUAGGUCGGAUUAGCUAGUUGGUGGGGUAAAGGCCUACCAAGGCGACGAUCCGUAACUGGUCUGAGAGGAUGAUCAGUCACACUGGAACUGAGACACGGUCCAGACUCCUACGGGAGGCAGCAGUGGGGAAUAUUGGACAAUGGGCGAAAGCCUGAUCCAGCCAUGCCGCGUGUGUGAAGAAGGUCUUCGGAUUGUAAAGCACUUUAAGUUGGGAGGAAGGGCAGUAAGUUAAUACCUUGCUGUUUUGACGUGACCAACAGAAUAAACACCGGCGAACUUCGU
rnacentral:rRNA from 1 species